UGAAAUUUAAACUUUUCUUAGGUAGUGAGAUUUUAGUGCAUCAUAUACGUAAACUGACUUGUCUUCACUCAGGGCACCAAGGGGAUGCGUUGGCCGUUUGUUAGUGUCUUCUGAUUUUUGCGGAGUCAAACAAUU
ensembl:snoRNA